UGUUUUGUUUUUGAUGUGCUUUUGUUUUAAUGUGUAAACACUACUGUGAAGUGUGGUAGUAAUCUGUGAUCUUUGUGGAAGUCUAGUAGUUUCACUGAUUAAGGUUUUUCUGGUUGAAGUACUAAAAGUCCACUGUGUGUUUGAGUCC